rnacentral:lncRNA from 1 species
UGGGACACUAACGAUAGCGGUCUCGUCGUCUAGCCAGUCUUCCUCUCGGAACGGUGCUCCAUAUUGCUCGCCAUUUUUAGGGCCAGGUCCGCUCUUCUUGAAUACUUUGUAAAGUGCAUAGUAAUCCUGCCACAAACAAAAGGUGAAUACUUUCGGUGAUCGAAACAAAAAACAUGAACAAAAACCCAUCAACCUAACAAACCUGGACAUUAGGGCAUCUUUUGAGUUCCUCCUCAUCCUACAAACAAAAGGUGAAUACUUUCGGCGAUCGAAACCAAAAACAUUAACAAAAACCCAUCAACCUAACAAACCUGGACAUUAGGGCAUCUUUUGAGUUCCUCCUCAUCCAAAGUGUACUCGUGCAUUACCCAGUCGGUCCUUUCACCCGUAGGAGCA